GCCUGAAGGCUAUGUAACUCUGAGGGUGAAUUUGGUUUGGUAAAGAAGUUCCUCACAACUCAUCCAUUUGAUAAGUAACAAAGAGUUAAAAUAAGUUGGCGACACAGUCCUUGCACGGAGAAGUGCCAUGUUAUGAUCGGCAACAGAAAGAUUGAGGUAACAGAGGACAAUUGAUCAGCGUUGUUAGUUCUGUAAGUUGUAACUUAUCUCCUGGAGGAAAAUAAACUCUGGCCUAGGAUGAAGAGUACUAAAAAGGGUUGUGUCUGAUUUGAGCCAAGAUGAGAACACUUGUUUGGGAAGGUCAACACUGGAGUGGACUCUUGGGUGAGGAUGGCGGAUCUAUUUCACUUUUAACUGUGGACCUGUCUCAUCAGGAGCAAGGUUGAUCAAUUCUGCACUGAAGUGGGCUAUUGACUCAGAUUGACUGCACUCCUCCAUAGUGGUUAGGUCAUUCCUGUGGAUGGAUUGUGGAGUGGCUGCUUGUUAUGGAUGGCACAUUAAAGAUCUGCCCUCCAAUUGAAGUGAAGUGAGGCUGAAAAUGUAAAGAAAAAUGGUUUUCUUAACCAAUAUUGACUGAUAAAUGAGACCUGUUUAAAGAUAUCAGGGUCUUCAAGAGUUUGCAUUUGUAAUGACUUAGCCACAAAUCUAUGCACUUUAAUUUUAAGGCCAAUUUAACAGAUGAAUUAUAUUUUUAGCGCGCUUAUGUUCGAUAAACCAUUUAUAAGGGUCAUAAACAGUGCAUAAUGAGAUGAGAUAAACCAUUUGAAUGUUAGAAACAAAGAACUGUUGGUGUAUUAUGCCUUGCAAAGCAUUUAGAAUUUCAGUAAAGUUUCAAUGUUAAUUUACCACUUUCUAGUUUGAUAUGCUUAAAUCAUUUCAACAAUUUUACAUGGAUUAAACUUAGGAUUCUAUGUCUGGCGGAAGAACGAUCCCAAAAAAUGUAAAGCGCGUAGCGUAACAAGGAAGCAUUGAAAACCAACCUAACUCCCUAUCAAUCACAUGUGUAAUUCUCGAGUGGAGCUCAGCUAAAUUUAGAGCUAACAAAUUACAGAGAAGUUUCGCGAACUUGAUUAAGAGUUUUGCUACCAAAUGUGAAGCAAAGUUGCAAUCAAAACGCGUAGCGUAACAAAGAAGCUUUGAAAAAGUUUCAAUCAAAAAUACACUUCAUGUUCGCAUGCUAUUUUUUUACAAAACUCGCAGCUGAUAGAAGUUAGCAAAUGUAACAAGAGGCUUGCUCUCCAGUUUUGAGUAUUCAUGAAAACCCUAAUGAAACUGUUCGCAAUUGUUCGAGUAAAAAGGAACUAGAAUAAACGCAAAAGAAUUUAAAGCGAGCUACAGUAUUUUAGGAGUACAGGAUGCGUAACAAAAAAUUUGAACUUUGAGAUGAUAUCAGGAUUUUUUUUUACGAUGAUAAAAACAAAGGUCAUUAAUUUUUUUUUCCCUUCGAGACGACAGAAACGUUUCAUGAUAGAUUCAGGAUGGUUUAAACUGAAAACUGUUCCCCAAAAAUUAUUUCGUUACCUCGUUACCUGAAAACCUUUCCCGCCAAAUUAAAAAACUAGAAUUUCAAUAAUUUUGUGAAAAAAAAAAUUGAUUCUAAAAGAGGAGAGUAAUGUAGAAAAUAGAGAAACUAACGGUCAAAUUAAGCUGUUUUUUUGGAGAAAGGAAGCAUUUUCUUUGCGGGAAAAAAGAGUCAGAAAACCACUUCGCGCCAAACUUUAGGCACGGUCCUUCGGAAGCUUUUUCUUUGCGGAAAUUUGAUUUGGAAAGAGUGAAUUAAAUUUCGAAACGCAGUCAAAUUUACAAUAUAGAAAAUCAAGUAGGAUAAUUUUUACUAAACAUCCUGUUUGAAAAUGUUUGGACCAUAAAUUAAGCCAAUUUUUUCAUAUAGUUAAAACAGUUUCCUUUGCUAAAAAUGGGUCAGAAAACCGUUUCGCGCCAAAUUUCAAGCACUGUCCUUCGCAAACUUUUUCUAUGGGGAAAGUUGAUUUGGAAAGAGUGGAUUUCAUUCCGAAAGGGCAAAAAAAAAAAAUUCAAUAUUGGUGAAUCAAGUAGGAUAAUUUUUGCUUAACAUGAUAUUUGAAAAGUUUUGGAUCAUAAAUUAAGCCGAUUUUUUUUUCAAGAAAGGAAGCAGUUUCUUUGCCAAAAAAAAAGGGAUCAGAAACCACUUCGCGCCAAAUUUUAAGCACGGUCCUCCGCAAGCUUUUUCUAUGUGAAAAUUUUAUUUGGAAAGAGUAAAUUUAAUACCGAAACGAAGAAAAAUUUGAAAAAUAGGUUUAAUCAAGUAGGACAAUCCUUGCUAAACAUGCUGUUUGAAACUUUUGCGUCAUAAAUUAAGCUUUUUUUUUUUUCGAGAAAGGAAGCAUUUAACUUUGCAAAAAAAGGGUCAGAAAACCAUUUCGCGCCAGAUGUCAAGCAUAGUCCUUCGCAAGCUUUUUCCUUAAGGAAAUUUUAUUUGAAAAGAAUGAAUUUCAUUCCGAAACGAAGUAAAAUUUUCAGUACAGGCUAAUUAACUAGGAUAAUUUUUGCUAAACAUGCUGUUUGAAAAUUUUUGGGAGAGCCUUUCAUUUAUUAAGUUCGUCAUACAAAAAUUUUCUUUAGACAAGCGUUGCAUGCGCAUUAAAGUUUAAAGGAAAUUCCGGCGAAAAAUCAGUGAUAAUUCCUAUAAGUUAGAGAUAGAUGCUCAAAGGUAGAUAGAUGCUUACCUGGAGAUGUUGUCGUUUUUGUUGUUGAAAAAUCGCGAGGGUCGUCAACAGUAAGAGUGAAACCAUGUGCUUGAUUUGGGAGCGACAAUUCAGUCAAUUCUUCUGAAAGAUUUCCCUUGCACUCCACUGAAAAUUACGACCGCAAACAAAAAAAAAACUUUUUAAGUUUAGAUAUUCACGAGGUAUUCUGAGUCAUAAAAUAAUAAAGGAAAAAUUAAAGGACUUACAUCUUGAACAUGACUAAAGGUAGCCGGGAACACGUUAUCUUAACAUACCGGGGUAGGUAACUAAAAACAGAAGUCAAUAAAGAACUAAAGAACACUUA